GGUGGAACCACCUCGAGUUGUUAUUAAUUCCUGUUCCCUUUUAGGAAGCGGGUACCGCGAAGCCGCAACGGAAGGAGAACUCGAAGAGGACCCUGAAGAGGGAAAGGGGACCGCAGGUCGAGCUGGGGCGAGAACGGUGGUAAAAGGGGUGCAUCCUGCCAAUUUCUUGGCAGGACGAGCACGGGGCACCGGGUUGAAAAUAACGAUCAGGAACCCUGGCGAGCUCACCUGCGAGGGGGCAUAUGUUUCAACAAGUAAUGGAGAAGUAAUCGCGAGGAUCUCGCGCCAGUUGGCGGGUUUGCGACUAAGGGGACGAAGGAUCAUUUUUAUUUUUUGCGGUGAGCUCUCAACGCCAUUUUCGAAUUCCUGGUUGAGAAGAAGUUAUCUUCCGGAGGAGCGAGGAUAAUUAUUAUUUAUUUUUCUCUUUUGCAGGGACUUUUCGAUGCCAUUUUGGAGUUCCAAAUAAUGGAGAAGUAAUCUCGCGCCAGUUGGCCGUUCGCUCGAGGGGGACGGUGGAUAAUUUCUUUUCCGCCGGAAUUUUCGAGUCCCAGGACACGAGAUGCCGAUCUGCCGAUUUGGUUUCUCGAAAUCCUGGCCCCGAGCGAGGUCCCCGAUUAACGUGGCUCCCCUUUCGACUUUCGAGGACCGCUUCUUCUGGGACUUCUUCGGGAAGUGGACACGUGCCUUGGGCGAGGUGCCAUUACCGUUCGUUCCGCUCCAGGACACGAAAACCGAAAGGACCUCCCGCCGCAUCCUCUUUUUGCCGACCCGGACAUUCGCGGAAAGGAGCAUCGCCUUUUCGUAGUCGUAAAGUGCGGUCACGCGCCGGGGCGCGCGUCUUCAGGGCCUGAGGCCUCUUCUGGGACUGUCCAAAUAACGACAAUUGGACUAAUAAUUUAUUUAACGAACCUGCGAAAUCACCAGACCCUCCUGUUCACCAUCGUUCCUUUUCGAGCGCUUCGUUGCGUGUCAAGACAUACAAUAUACAUUUCUCGUAUAUAAAAAAAAAAAUUAAAAUAUAUAGAUAGGGUUUAUAUAAAUUGAAAUUUUACACGUAUAAAGGGGUUGGCCGUCGAAGGGUUAAUUCCGGUGUCCGGACUGAACCGAUAGGACGAAUUCUUCUGUAUACCCACGAAUGUACAAACUCCACCGGAGAGGCCAUUUCCGCAGGUCACGCACCACGUGCUUCCACUUCCUAUCGGAAGUGGGCUCGAGGCAGCUGGCUCCGACUUUUUCCCCGCCUUUCUGCCCGAAUGCGAACAUUACCAUAGUCGGUUACACGAUUAACGCGAGACAUACCCCGGUUUCAUUUGACCCGGCUUAAUUUACUCCAAUUUCCCGGGAAUUUACCGCCCUCUCGUCCGCCUUCCUGGGUGAAAAAUCGGGAGGGAAUACCGCUUUAACGAACCCUGGGACGGCUUUUUUGUUCCCCCGACAUUGUCUCGAUUCCGGGUCGACCGAUAAUUCGGUCCAGGAAUAAUAUUCAUAAGCCUUCUUUCCAGCCUCUUGAUCGAUCGGGGCGUCCUCAUGUUACAACGCGAGCAAGACCCUGACAUCCAUGAAAUCUCUUUUUUUUUUUUUUAAUUGUUUAUAGACAUUUUUGAAAUUCUCUCUCUAACAUUGGGACCAAGACAUACGGAAGUAAUUAAUGGUUCAUGCAAAUAUUUUUUUCAGGGAGUAUCGAGCCUUUCUCAACAAAUGGUCCAGGGUUUUCUGCCCUCUGAAGAGGAACCCGAAGAGACCCCUGAAGAGGAACUCGAAGGGACCCACCGGAAACUGGGCCACCAGUGGGGGUGACUUUCCGCUGGAGCCGCCGAUCGUCCAAUCAACUCGCGAGUCGUUUAACGAGACGGCAACCCGACGUCGGCUCCGGAGGAGGCAGGACUUCGAGUUCGAGUUCGAGUUCGGGAUUCGUUCAGUCGAGACCUCAAUCGUCUCGCCCGAUCGAGGACUUAGCCGAGCAUAACCGGGGACGAAACGACUUCUCUUCGAGAACCAUUUCUUGGGGGACAAAGAGGCGACGAGGGAGCCGAGGUGCGAUAAGAACCAGGAGGAGGCACAGGGUCGUCAGGAUCGUCCACGUCUUCAUCUUCGCUGCUCCGAUCUCCCCCCACGUGGGUCCUCUUCCGAAGACUUCGAAGCCGUCAAGUACCUUCUUCAGGAACUCCGAAAUUCGGUAUCGAUCACUUCCCACGUGGGUUCUCUUCCGAAGACUUCCACGCCGGCAAGUACCCUCUUCGGGAACUCCUGGAUUUAUCGGAAAUCCGAAAUUCGGUAUCGAUCACUGCAGGUCGAUGGAGCCGCGGUGAAUGGCGAGAGGAGUUUCGAUUUUUCGGUGCACUUCUUCUGGGCCGAUUUCACGGAUUCUUUUUUAAGAUUUCUUUUUUUUUAUCGAUGGUCUCUGAUUUGAUGUUUAUUUCGGGAGUUUGAUGGUGGUUCUAUGGGAACGAGGAACGCGACGAUGGUGCACGGUUGCGCGCUGCGCGCGGAAUGAGCGCUUCCUGAUGAGGAUGCUGAAGCACGCGGCCUCACGCUCACGUGACUCCCCUCCACCUGGACCUACCCCCACGUUCUUGACACCUUCAACCCUCUCCUCUCACCUGGUCUACCGGAAGAUCCCUCUCUUUCCUUCUUACUCUUUUUUACGCAAAUAUUCAUAUAGUACACAAUGGUAAAAAUAUUAAUACCUUAAAAAAUAAUGCCACGGAUAUUUCUCCCAUAGAUUAUUAAUUUCUGUACCGAUUUUUAAUUAAAAAUCGGGAGGUACCUUUGGUCCAAUAUUUCUUUCCACGGCGCACAGUUUACCAAGUACAGUAAUUAAUCGACUCGUGAUUGUUUUUCGAAUAAUUAUCACCGCAUGCAUCAUAGAAAAAAAAAAUAGUUCAGGAUUUAUCGACUCCCCUUUUCAACGGGAAUUGUUACGUGUAAGCCGUGUCCAGGAAUUCUGUCACAUCCAGUGUACUUGAUAAUUGGUACUAAUAAUUACUAGAUACGACAAUAUACAUGUUUUGACAUAUAUUAUCGGUUUGUUUCUAUUUUAGCUGGUGGACGUUUCGAAGGUAGGGCUGUCACGCGGUUACAGGACUCGACGGUGCAGCGGUGCGCGCGAGUGCACUGGCGGUGCAUGGACAGGUGCACGGCCGCCACGUGACAGCCGGCCUUCUUACCGCAGAGCGGGUGUGCCUCUC
rnacentral:lncRNA from 1 species